rnacentral:rRNA from 1 species
UGGGGAAUAUUGCACAAUGGGCGCAAGCCUGAUGCAGCCAUGCCGCGGGUAUGAAGAAGGCCUUCGGGUUGUAAAGUACGUUCAGUCGGGAGGAAGGUGUCAAGGUUAAUAACCUUGGGAAUUGACGUUACCGACAGAAGAAGCACCGGCUAACUCCGUGCCAGCAGCCGCGGUAAUACGGAGGGUGCAAGCGUUAAUCGGAAUUACUGGGCGUAAAGCGCACGCAGGCGGUUGAUUGAGUCAGAUGUGAAAUCCCCGGGCUUAACCCGGGAAUUGCAUCUGAUACUGGUCAGCUAGAGUCUUGUAGAGGGGGGUAGAAUUCCAUGGGUAGCGGUGAAAUGCGUAGAGAUGUGGAGGAAUACCGGUGGCGAAGGCGGCCCCCUGGACAAAGACUGACGCUCAGGUGCGAAAGCGUGGGGAGCAAACAGG